GUACCGGGAACCGGGCUAAUACGAUAAUUAUUUUGAACCGCAUGGUUCAAUAGUGAAAGACGGUCUCGGCUGUCACUUAUAGAUGGACCCGCGCCGUAUUAGCUAGUUGGUAAGGUAACGGCUUACCAAGGCGACGAUACGUAGCCGACCUGAGAGGAUGAUCAGCCACACUGGAACUGAGACACGGUCCAGACUCCUACGGGAGGCAGCAGGG
rnacentral:rRNA from 1 species